AUAACCCUACGGGGCGCAGCAGUAGGGAAUCUUCCACAAUGGGCGAAAGCCUGAUGGAGCAACGCCGCGUGGGUGAAGAAGGUCUUCGGAUCGUAAAACCCUGUUGUUAGAGAAGAAAGUGCGUGAGAGUAACUGUUCACGUUUCGACGGUAUCUAACCAGAAAGCCACGGCUAACUACGUGCCAGCAGCCGCGGUAAUACGUAGGUGGCAAGCGUUAUCCGGAUUUAUUGGGCGUAAAGGGAACGCAGGCGGUCUUUUAAUUCUGAUGUGAAAGCCUUCGGCUUAACCGUAGUAGUGCUUUGGG
rnacentral:rRNA from 1 species